rnacentral:rRNA from 1 species
UGACCGCUGGCGGCGUGCCUACUACAUGCACGUCGAGCGAACGGACGCGAAGCUUGCUUCUCUGAUGUUAGCGGCGGACGGGUGAGUAACACGUGGAUAACCUACCUAUAAGACUGGGAUAACUUCGGGAAACCGGAGCUAAUACCGGAUAAUAUUUUGAACCGCAUGGUUCAAAAAUGAAAGACGGUCUUGCUGUCACUUAUAGAUGGAUCCGAGCUGCAUUAGCUAGUUGGUAAGGUAACGGCUUACCAAGGCAACGAUGCAUAGCCGACCUGAGAGGGUGAUCGGCCACACUGGAACUGAGACACGGUCCAGACUCCUACGGGAGGCAGCAGUAGGGAAUCUUCCGCAAUGGGCGAAAGCCUGACGGAGCAACGCCGCGUGAGUGAUAAAGGUCUUCGGAUCGUAAAACUCUGUUAUUAGGGAAGAACAUAUGUGUAAGUAACUGUGCACAUCUUGACGGUACCUAAUCAGAAAGCCACGGCUAACUACGUG